rnacentral:rRNA from 1 species
GAUGAACGCUGGCGGCGUGCCUAAUACAUGCAAGUCGAGCGAACAGACGAGGAGCUUGCUCCUCUGACGUUAGCGGCGGACGGGUGAGUAACACGUGGAUAACCUACCUAUAAGACUGGGAUAACUUCGGGAAACCGGAGCUAAUACCGGAUAACAUGUUGAACCGCAUGGUUUAACAGUGAAAGACGGUCUUGCUGUCACUUAUAGAUGGAUCCGCGCCGCAUUAGCUAGUUGGUAAGGUAACGGCUUACCAAGGCAACGAUGCGUAGCCGACCUGAGAGGGUGAUCGGCCACACUGGAACUGAGACACGGUCCAGACUCCUACGGGAGGCAGCAGUAGGGAAUCUUCCGCAAUGGGCGAGAGCCUGACGGAGCAACGCCGCGUGAGUGAAGAAGGUCUUCGGAUCGUAAAACUCUGUUAUUAGGGAAGAACAAAUGUGUAAGUAACUAUGCACGUCUUGACGGUACCUAAUCAGAAAGCCACGGCUAACUACGUG